rnacentral:misc_RNA from 1 species
ACUAAAGCAUAGGUUAUUAUUGAUAAUUUUCAAAGUUCAGGUUGUAGUCUCGAAUUAGAUAAAAAUAUAAGAUUUACUUAAUAAUAACUCUUUUCUUAUUUGGAUGAACUUUUACGAGUAGAAUUUCUUGAUCUCCUGGCCUGUUGGUCUUUAACAAGUGUUCCCACUGCGUAACUAGAACCAUCUUAAUCUUUUAGGAAUAUUUUUUUUAAGAGCAUGUUUUACAUAAUCAAGGUCUUCAGUCAGUUGUGGAUCUGUGGAGGAGGGUGGUACUGGUGCUGAGGUUGAAGGAAUAACUAAUUAGGUUGAAUUUGAAAAUUAAAGUAAGCAGAGUAACAUAGAAUUUGUUGGCUUGAAAUUAUUGUGAGCCUAGUUUUCAAAUCCAAUGGAUGAUUGGAGUUGUUUUAGUUGGCCUACCGGAUAUAUAAUCCCACUAACACCAAGUUUUUUCUUAAUAUAUAAAUGUAUGUAUUUGCUAGUAUUAAGUUCUAAUCAUUUUGGGAAUGAGUAUUUAAUUUGGAAGAUAUAAUAGAUAGUUAGAUAUUAUGUAACUGAGUUUAUGCUGUCUAAAAGUGGCAUGUUUUGUCUAUCCUGUAAAGUUUUCAAUGUCACAUACCAAGCUGAUUUUUGUACAGGAUUCACCAGGUUUAUGUAUCCUUCUACAGUGUCUUGCUUUUUGCUUCCAAUUGAACUUGAAAAGACAAACUGAAAACAGGACAGGUUAGAGGUGAGGCCAGGAUAGGCAAACUCUUAUUAGUUGCUCAAAGGAACGGUAGGUUGGUGUGAGUUUUGGCAUUCUGAUGUUCCUAAAAAUCAUUCAAAAUGCAACUAGAAUCUUCUUAAAUCUUAAUCAUAUUUUUUUUGCAUUUCUUUUGCUUCAAGCUACUAAUGUUUGAAACAGAAAUUUCUACGAUCCCUUUGAUUGGUACCUAUCUCAAGUACUCAACAUUCAAACGUUUUGAUGUUUCUCAUAAUUAAAAAAUGAAAAAAUAAAAUAAAAAUUGAAAAUUACAAAAUAAAUACCCUGUGGUUUCGCACUUUGACACAUGAAGGACUGUGGUUUGAUUUUUAUCAAUUCGAUACCCUAUGUUUUUCUCUGUUAGUAAAUGUGGUCCAAACCAUUAGUUACUGUUAAAUGAUGCUGACAUGGUUAGCUCCACAUGCCAUCACGUCAACGCUAGGUAUUUGCCAUGUCUGCAUCAUUUUGUAACUAAUGGUUUGGACCAUAUUUGCUAACGGAAUAAAACUUAGGUAUCAAAUUGACAAAAAUUAA